GCUGUGCUUUCUGCCAGGAACAAGUUUUCCCCUACAAUCCCCAUGACUCACUCCCUCGCUUCCUUCAGGUCUUUGUUCAAAUGUCACCUUCUCAAAUGCUGCCUUCCCCGAUGCCCACCCCCAUCCUCUGCUCUCCCCAGUUCCUGGCCUCACUCUGUUUUCUCCACUAACACUUUAACACUUUGUUCCACAAGAUCCGGGGGUUUUGUCUGUUUGGCCUCUGUCACCAGUGUCUCCAAAUAUGUGCGAUCGGCCUUCAGUGAAUGUGUGUUGAGUAAAUGAAUGAGUGAAAAGCUAGCACAAAAACCGGGCAGUCGGGGAGGGCCCCUCGUACCCUGCUGACCAGGAAGCUGAUGAAGCACGAGAGAAGGUGAUUUAUGUUUUAUCACUAGUCCUCUGGCUAUUUGAGGCAGAAUGGCUUGGAAAGAACUGAGUGUGGAAGAGGGGAGGGGGACAAGGUAGAAGGCCAUUGCAGUGGCCGAGGCAGGGAGAUCAGGGGGACGGGGCGCUGGAGGAGAGUGGGCGGUGGGGAGCCGCUUGGGAGGUGGAGCAGAGAAGACUUGGGCUUGCACACCUGGGCUCUGGAGCCAUGGUCUCCGCGGCUUGAGUUGGGGCAGAUGGGAGGACGAAGGAGUAGGGGGCAAGUCAAGCGGCCCCCUCUCCAACUCUGCCCCAUCGUGGACCUCUGGAGCCCCGAAGCAGCUUGCAGAGAGUCUCAGUGUGGCUGGAAGGGUGUGCCACCUGGGAAGCCCUGCCCAGUUGGGCCUUGACCCCUGCCGAGUCCUUGGGGAGCCUGGGGCUUGCCGGUUACACGAAGAGCAAGGGGUGUGCCCACCCCCGCCUCUGGGAAACUUGUGCUCAAGCCCUGCUGGGGUGCGUCGGGAUGGGAGGGGAACAGACCUGCCCUUUCCCACCCCCUCUCUCCUCUGCAGCACCCACUGCUCCAACCUGACCUACCUGGCUCAGCUGACUAAAGUGUCCACAGGGGUGAGAUGCAAGUAAUUAACUAGCAGAAGCUCUGAAGCUCCCCAGAUAAUGAUCGGCCCCGAAGACACCCGCGUCAAACCUUAUCCAUAGAGUUGGAAGGAGGAGGAGGAUCAGGCUCCCCAGAAUCCUGAACCCAGCAGGUGACAGACACCCAAAAUCCAGUCCAGCACCCUUCUCCAAGGGCUCUGUCCCCACUUCCAAGGCUACCAAGAGUGGCCCCUGACGAGCCCAUGGGCCACCAAACCAUGUCCGGUCUCUUCGAGGUUUGCACCUUCUCAGUGUCCCCCACUUGCCCUCCUGUCCCCACCUUCCCAUUCCCCAGACAUACUCUGAUCCCAUUCCCACUCUGCCUCCUCCAUGAAGUCACCCCUGGCUGCCUCGCCUUCUUUGUGUUUCUUUUCUGGGUUCUUUAUCAUCUGCAUCCUUAUUUCGGCUUUUGGGGCUGUUGUGUUUCAUCUGCUGGCUUUUUAAUUCCUAUAGGCUGAAGGGUACGUUUCACAUGCCCACAGAGUGGUGGUGGUGAGAGCAGACCGAAGGUGCGUUCCAGUCCCACCCGCUACUGUGUGACCUUGGGCAAGGAACUUCUCUGUGCCUCGUUGAUAAAGAGGCUACUCAUGCCCACUUGAGAGGUUCCUGGAAGAAUUAAAUGGAACGCUCUUUGCAAAGAACCCAGCCUGGUGUCUUGUGCUCAGUAGGGACUCCACACAUGCCAGCUAUUCUUCCAGUAUGACAAAUCUCCAUAUCUGACAUUGCACCAGGCAUUCAGUAGGAGCCCAACUCAGAUCACCACUGCAGGACUGCAAAAGCACAAGGCUGAUCUCUCAUUUCCUCAGAGCCUGAGCCAGCAAAGAGACAACAGGUCAAGUUCACAGAGAAGUGUAGAAAUUGACCUUGGACCCCUCUCAAGGGGCGGAGAGAAACUUUCUCACAAAAAUGUUUGCUAUUCCUCCCAUCCUUUUCCUCACAGACAUCCCCAAAGCAAGAGCAGUCUCUGGGGAACCCUCUCCUUGAAAGACAGAUCCCAUGUGACCUGUUGCAGUGACUGAGGCUCUAUCGAAGACUGGUGUGGUCACCAUGACCCCUCCCUUAUUGACCUUCAGGCCUCCAGGUCCUGGACCCAACCAUUUUAUAUACAUAUGUCUCCUGUCAUCGUCACAAAAACCUCAUUCUACAGGUGAGGAGACUGAGGAUUGGCAAGGUUAAGAAACUUGCUCAAGGUCACACAGCUGGUGAGUAGCAGAACCAAGAUGUCCACUCAGUUUGACCUCUACCAGUCCAUGCUCCUGCCUCUGGGCCACUCCCUUUUGAAGUGAGGCAGUCACUGGCUUAGAAUCUGGGCCAAGUGAUAGACCCUCCUGCUGGAACCUCAGUCUCAUCCCUUCCUAGACAGAGGGAGGAACGGCCACCCUCCCACUGCCCAGGUGAGGGCUUUUGGAUGGGGGCAGGAAGAGAGUAAAGGGUAAAAAAAAAAAAAAAAACAACAAAACUCAUUUAUGGCUAACCAGAUUUCUGUCUUGCAGCAAUUUAUAUCCAUUUCCCCUAAUUUAGGCAACUCUGAAUAUGAGAAAAGCAUUCAGCCGUUUGAAGAAUGCUAUUCAACUCAUGACAAAGAACAAUUCUUUUGAAUCUGUGAGAAUUUUCUGGAAGUCACAUGUCAUUUUCACUUUCACCUAUUAAAAUUGAAGCUUACAUUCAGCUUUUUAAAAAAACUCCUCAGUUUGCAGAGGCAGCCAGCAGCCAGUGGCGCAGGCCGGGUCUCGGGCCCUUGCCAGAGGUCGUCACUCUCUGGAAGCACCGACCAGCUCAGCAGACCACAGCCUUGGGCUCAGACAUGAAUUGACCUUGAAAGAAAGAAAGACCUGCACAAAGAUCAUAAUGAACCAACAGAAAAUAUUCAACAUCCGUCAUUAUCUCCACUUACGUGGAGCUUGGGAGCGGGAUGUGGCACAUUCCAAGAGCUGCUUUAGGGAAAACCAAGCCACGAGGAGAUGGCGUUCCUGGGCUGGACGGGAGCCUGAGGCCUGGAUGGGGCCUGCUUUCCGCACAUCUGCUUCCCUCAUAAGGGAUCCCUGACUCCCAGGCUCUGCCAGGCGGAAAGCAAACCAGCCCUGGGCUAGGGGCCAGAGCAAGGACUUACCUGGAAGAGACAUCUGCUAAGCAAUUUGACCAAACGCAAACGCUGCUAGUUUAAUGAUCAUAAUUUCCUACAGCAGAUUCCCCCAGCACCUCCGCUAUCGUGUUAGUGGAAUCAUUUUUCAACUUACUAGGUACAGAGGAGACCCAGUGCACAGGGCCAGGCCAAGGGUGUGUGUGCAUGUGCGUGUGUGUGUGCAUGCGUGCGUGUGUGUGUGUGUGUGUGUGUGUGAGAAAAAUGCCUGCAUUUUUCAGGAGUGAGGAUAUUUGCAUAACACAGAUAUCUUUGCAGAUACCAGACAAACAGGAAGUUUCAGAACUGAUGCCAUUUCCUUUCAUUGUGAAUCAGCAGCCUCUCUCUUCUCACACAGAAAUGGUGAAAAUCACAGGGUCCAGCCCUGGAACAUGAAGUGCGAGAGAAGAGCACGAAAGCAUCAGAAGUCACCUUCUCUGGUGGGGUGCUUCCCUGGGCGCCCACCUGCACUCCUCAGGCCAUCCCCUUCCAGCUACCCAGCUUCCUGGAGCGCUUCAAGAUAUGUUUGGAUGCCCACCCUAAACACAUUAGCAAACCAGUCUUCAUCCACACAACCUAUGUUAUACCAGUGCUUGGGAUGGGGCCCAACCGGCUCUAGGGGGACCUCCCUCGUCCUUGUUCCCGGCCCCAGGACUGUAUCCCAGAGGAGCUCUGUGAAGUAACACGCCCUGGAUGUGGCACCAGAAAACCUGGGCUCAGAUCCCUGCUCCAACCAGAGAGGCCCUGGGCAAGCCACUUUCCCCUACGAGCCUCAGUUUCCCUAUCAGUUACAUGGGACUGAUAGUGGCUCCCUGCAUGUUUGUAAUAAUAAUACAAGCACAAGGCAAGAAAUAUAAGGCAGCAAAUAAAAGCACAGAAUUUGGAGUCGGAUAUCUGAGUUCAAAACCCAGCUCCAGUGUGUACUAGGCCGUGAUGCUUGGGGCAAAUUGCCUAACUUUGCCAAAUGUUAAUUUGCCCAGUUAUAAAAUGGAGGUAACGACAGUCUGUUGAGAGGAUUCAGAGAUAUGACCACCUUGCACAGAGCAGAGUCUGGCUCACAGGAAAUUCUCAACAACAUGAACCAGUUUUCCUGCUGCCCAGCCCCCCCCUCCCCUCCCCCGGCAGCACUCCUCCUUCCUCCAGCGCCUCCAGGUGCUGUAAGAUCCCGGAGGUGGAGACCACUGCAUGCCUCGCUGGUGAGGGUCCAGCACCUGGCUUAGCCCGUAAUAAAUCAGCUGAAUGAAUGAAUGGAUGCCCCUGGUGCGUAGCAGGUGCUGAGGAAAUCUAUCCGUAUAAAAUAAAUUUAUACGAAAGCCA